rnacentral:rRNA from 1 species
GAUGAACGCUGGCGGCGUGCAUAACACAUUCAAGUCGAACGGGGCAGCAAUGCCUAGUGGCGGACGGAUGAGUAACGCGUGAGCAACAUGCCUGUGUGAGGGGGACAACAGCCGGAAACAGCUGCUAAUACCGCAUGAAGUAUUCGAAUCGCAUGGUUUGAAUACCAAAGAUUUAUCGCACACAGAUGGGCUCGCGUCCGAUUAGCUAGAUGGUGGGGUAACGGCUCACCAUGGCGACGAUCGGUAGCCGGACUGAGAGGGUUGAACGGCCACAUUGGAACUGAGAUACGGUCCAGACUCCUACGGGAGGCAGCAGUGGGGAAUAUUGGGCAAUGGGCGAAAGCCUGACCCAGCGACGCCGCGUGAAGGAAGACGGUCUUCGGAUUGUAAACUUCAAACAACAGGGAAGAAACAAAUGACUGUACCUGUUAGGAAGCCACGGCUAACUACGUGCCAGCAGCCGCCGUAAUAC